rnacentral:tRNA from 1 species
GCGGCCAUAGUCUAUCGGCUGAUGAUUCAACCUUGCCAAGGUUGGGAGCCGGGUUCGACUCCCGGUGGCCGCA